CCCGGCCUCCUCCCCGCCCGCGCCUCCCUCUCCUUCUUCCACUCCUCCGAUCUGGCGCCGCCAAACCCUAACGCCCCGCCCUGGCCCCAGCUCCCACAGCAGGGAAGGAGGAACGCCGCCAGCCAUCCUCCCCGUCCAUCGCCGCCACGCCAUUGUUGGCACCUACCCGAGGCGUGGGUGCUGCGGGUCAACCGCGUCGGGGAGAUGGGCGCCACGCAGCGGUCGCUAGAUCCGUGCGCCGGAUCCGCUGCUCCUCCCGCCCCGCCGCCCACGACCCCCUCUCCCGCAACUCCGGCCAGCCGCCGUCGAGAGGUCAACUCUGGCCGCCUCCACCACCACCCAUUGGCAGGAGCGCACCUCCCCCUCCCCCGCUACUCCUCCUCUAUCACGUGUUCAUCACCGGGAGGAGCAGCGGAUCUGCCUGGUGGCGUCGCCGUCGGCUGAAGGAGUGGCGGACCAUGGUCCUCGAGUUACUGCACCUCCGGGAAGAAGACGACAUGAGGGGGGUUGGAUCCUAAGGGGCAGAGAUGCAGUCCUCCAGAGUUGUUGGGAAGAAGAAGAUGGAUUUGCAAGGUCGAUCGACAUAUGCGACAAAGAUCCUGUUGUGCACAAGCAUACUCCAUACAUUGUUAUCCUCAUGAGGCUUGCAGAAAAAUGGGUCGAUGCGCGUGAUGGUCAGUGACCUUCGGCCAGGCAAGAGAAAAGGGAAUUUAAGGACCUAAUUCGAGCCGUAUGCUUAAACCGCGAGUCAUCCAAGAAGUGGUCCAGUUUUACACAGUGCUCCUAAUAGUACAAUUAAGGAAAAACAGUUAACUCCCUCAAUGAUUUGGCCCUUGACUCCCUCUCAAUAUGGUUUCCCCAUGCAUAAUGGACUACCAAACAAUGUUAAGGAGCCAUAGGUAAGCAAGAAUUCACAAUUAACAGCCCUUGUAGCUGUGAUAAUAUGACAUCAUGAUAGUUUGGUAAGCAAGAAUUCACAAUUAACAGUCCUUGUGGCAUUUACAUACAUGUUGGGUUCAGAUAGACAUAUGAAAUACCUUGAUGCUGACCCUAACAAGCCCAACUAGACCAUAUGAACGUGCAGCAACCAAGACGGUAUUUGCACUUCUGCAGAUACUAUCUAAUUUCGAUACAGAACUCUCUGGAAGCUGCAGUGGUGAAAAUUUGGUGUACUUCAUAUAGAUGUUCUUCUAGAAUGUACAUUUUAGGAUCAAGCAUUUUCUUGAUUUUCAUAUUGAAGAUCAAGCAUUUUCUUGAUUUUCUUAAUAUGGAGCUUUGACCAUCUCUUUGGUGACCAGUUUGGAUAAUUUUAGUUAUAGCACCCACGCAAGUUUUGUUUCUUUCUGUAUAUUAUCAGUCUUCUCAAAAAUUGAAGGAUUGGUAAGCCUUUUGGUAUUAUAUAUUUUUAGUCCAUGUUAGGAUAUCUGUCUAUUGUAGGUGAACUAGAGCUUCCACUUUUAUCAAUGUUGCUUGUGUAAAAUAUAGACAUAGCUUUUCAGGCAAUUCUGCUUUGUCAUGGAGAUGAAAAGUAAUUAUUUUGGUGUGGUGAAUCAAUUGUUUUGCUGGGUGAGAUAUAUCCCUCUCCUUGUUUUCUAUUUGUCGAGUUUCAUUUGAUUGAGGUUUAUAAGACAAGAUCGCAAGUUGUAGAAAGGAUGUACAUAUAUGUACUUUUCUGUAUAGGUCUUGCCCUGUGAAAUUAUGUAGUAGUGUUUGUACUUUUUUUUCUUAUAUCAUGGUGUCGCCUGUGAGUGUUCCCAAUAGUGUGGACUAAGUAUGCAGCAAUAGUGUGAAUCAAUCUACACUUGCAGCAUGACUGUUUUUUUGCCCUGGGCCUUUUUAUUUAUGUGAUAGAACUUUCUUUAGCAAUACACCAAUUCAGAAUAUUCAUAUAUUCUUUUCUUAGUCAUUUUCAAUUUUUAUAUGUUGGCGAAGAACUUACUUUAGCAGCAUAGUGCUAACAAACUUACUUAGGCUAUCAAACAGUGUACAACUAAAGAGAAUUCAAUUAGCUGGCUUGUUUGUAAUCAGUGGUCUAGGUAGGUUGCAAGGAAGAGGGCUUUUGUAUCAUUCUUCUUUUGAUUUUUUGGAUCAGUGGUCUAGGUAGAUUCCAAAGACGGAGAUUUUUGGUGUUGGCUUCUUUGGAAUUAGUGGUCUAGCUAGGUUCCAUGGAGGAGGGAUGUUUGUUUGUAUGUUGGAUAUAAAAGUAUCAAGUAUCAACUUGAUCUACAUCUGCUCUUUUGCUUUUACAUGGCUCACACGGUCAUGUUAUGCAGCUUUAGAAGAGAUUGCAGAUCAUAAGCUUGCAAGGAUAAUUGGUUAGUGACUCUUUAUCUUUGAGGUUCACCAGGAUCACAUUGCAGGUUGUUUGAUGCAUUUGUGCUCGUCGGCGGGACGGUGCAAGGCGCAACUCCGACGCGGUUCCUUGCCGGUUGGAUGGCGUUCAGGCGCAACCCCGGCGCGCACUCAGUACUGUCUCGGCUACAACCUCUCUCGGUGAACUGUAGCGACAGCGUGUGCGUGGGGGUCAAGCACGAUAGCGCUGAUGGGUGCCGUCUCCGUCGACUGGAGAACCGCAGGUCGCGGCUCACGCCGCUGCUCUACUGGGUCAUCAGCCUUCGUACUCGUGUUGCGCGUGCACUCAAGUACUUCAUCCCAGGUUCAUAUGUCACAAAUGUCCAUGCACACAGCUCUGACCCCCUUUUUUUGCUGCUCCAUAUAGUGAACCAACAGAGUCGUGGAUGCAGUGUGAGCGGUAAGCCAGAACUGCAAUUCGUUGAACAUGGGGUGCUAUUGUGAUGAUCUCAUGCCUCACGCUCUAUAGAGGUACCCACCAUUGAGACUUCUGGGAAACACUGCUCCGACCGGCUGGAGGUGUCGCCGUCGAUGAAAGAGCGCCAUGGAGAGGAGAGCUUUCGCCACUUCCUCCACCACGACAUUUCAAAGCAGUUGUUGCCUCCCCAUCGCUCAGUAGCACGAGCAGCGGUGGAAGCAGGACCAUGCCGUCUUGGACCAGGUCGCGUCCCCAGAAGUGGACAAUGAAGGCCUUUGACAAGUGUGCUCUCUCUCUCUCUCCACCGCUGCUGGAUCCAAGUCGCUCGACAAAAUGUCGCUAUGUUUCCAUGAAAUGCAAACUGCGGCGGAUGACCACACUCCAUAGAGACAAGCGAAAACGCUAGGACCGAAUUUGCAUACACUGCACGCAAAGAUUUAUUUGGAAACGGUCAACAUGGCCAAUCAGAAGGAAGGAUACAUCAGUCUGCGAAAUCAUUUUGCAAUAUAUCUAUGUCCCAUGUGUAGUAGCCAUCACCAAUUCUAUGUGUGAUCCACAGCUUUCAAAUCUCUCUCUAUAUAUAGGGAUCUGACUGAGUCAAAUAUAAUGGUACAUCGAGCUAGCUAUCUAAGUUACUAUCUUAUCUAAGAUGUAAUUGAUGCUUUCUUUUGCCCAGUAGUAUGUAUUUCAAUGGAUUAACUACUGUGUUAGUCAUGUUUCAAUGGAUUAACUA